rnacentral:lncRNA from 1 species
AUAGCAGUAGCUAGGGCUAUCAAAAACACACUAAAAUAAAAUGAAAGAAAUGGUAAAACAACAAAGUGUUCUGUUUUUUAAGCUAUUUUAAUAGGCUUGUGAUUCUCCAUGUUUGUAAAGGUGAAGCUCCUAUCAUGUACAUUUUAUUUAAUUCAGAACAUGUUUUUUUUUUUUUUUUUACUUAGAGAUAUACUAAAUAAAUCUUGAUAAUGCUGUCUGUAGGAUUCCCAGUUGUGUUACAUAUCUGAGAGUUACUUAAUUUUGCAGCUCAAUAGCAUACCUCAUAUUCCAUCUAGGUAGAGCUAUGUUAUUUGUGCAAGUUAUUAACAAAAUAUAACAUAUAUGUAGGAUUCUAUAUUGAUUUAUGGGUCAGACAUUAUAAGAUCUUCGCAUUUUGACCUCUGUUAUUGCUAUUAUUACCGAAGACAUAUCAUAUGCGAUUAUAUUUGUACAAGUUAUGCAUGUGGUCCAAAUCAUUGUCUUUGAAUGGCAUAAUAAUGUUAGGUCCAUUUCACUCACAGCUUUGAAAAGUCACACAGGACUCCAGAACAUUCACAAUUACUAUUACAAAGACCUAUAAUUGCCGGAAUCAAUUUUCCCCUUGAAUGGAUUGUUUCCUAACUUGAUCCAUGACCAUUUCUCACACAUUAUUUUCCUAUUUACUAAGUUGGUUGUCUCUUCAUGUGACUGCUUGAUAAGUUUGGUAGUAUAUUGACAAUAAAGUAGGCAAGGAAGCAAGUCCUAUCUGAGACAUCAAACACCCGCCAGAUAACAAUGUGAAUGUGUGAGGGUCCAUUGAAUUUGACAUUUAUAGGAAGAAGUUAUGUCUGAACUCUUGAUAGACCAUAAAGAAAUGUCUUUAUGGGUUUAGCCUAUCAAUUAUCAUAUGUAGAUUGAUUUGGGAAGCAAGAGUAUAGUGGGUCACCAUUAACCUUCCAGCUAACAUGCAAUGUUUUAUUGCCUGCCUUUAGACCAUUUACGCAUGGCUCUUGAUCUGGUGGUGGUCCAAAUUUUACCUUAUAACAAUAUUUUGAUUUCAUGCUUUCUUUCUAUAUGAUAAUAUAUAAUAUUCUAUUUACUGGACUAAUCUUUAUCUUGUUAUCAACAUCUAUUUUUAUUUUACAAAAUUUUAUCUUGGUUGAUGCAGCAUAAUGCUAAUUUAAGUUACUGUUUGUUUAGUGAAAGGUGUGCUUAUGAUGUGUUUUUUAUUACUGAUUUCUUGUUAUAUUUUUGUUUUAUUGUUUCAUCUUGGUAAUUCUAUUAGAUGGGGAUAAUAGUACGCAACCUCACGAAAUUCGAACAAGAAGUAUUGUGAGGUUAAUUGAUGUAAAUUUUUAAUAUCCUUAUUUUAUUUUGAGGUUUAUGUUAACUAGAUGCUAGAAAUUCACAUAUUUUUAUGUAUGUAGAUGCAUUUAAUUAAA